UUAUCCACUGUCCUCCAUAGUCUGCAAUAUCUUACUGUACGGGGAGACUUUGACAAACCAGUAAAGUGCCUGAAACCACUAUGGCUUAUUGUUAAAGAUAGCCUAGUCAGCAAGCUGUUAAAAGCAAGUCUCAGCUUGACCAAGGCAGGAGGGGAGGGGGAUUUAGGGUGCCACCGAAAGGGAAGCUUGACCCCCACAUCCUUCCUGAUAAGAACUGGGUUAAAAGUUGCUGAUACAUGUGUUUUCAAAGAGUAGGAUAUGUCCCAGGAAUGUCUAUUGAGGUCUCAAGGCGGCAAGUUCUAGAAAGACCCACACCUGGUUAAUCAAUAAUCAGAAGGAACCUCUUUGCUUGAAACUGCUUACUUAACAAGGUUUCUUUAAUUACUAAUGUAUAAAUAAGGGGAAAAAGCUUGAGACAAGUGGGACUCAUUUUGGGACUGGCCUCUCCCUCUGGAUGCAUCUUGUGUUUCCCAGCGGCAGACGGGCUGUCGCUGUAUCACUCGAAAGCCACACUCAGCUUUGCUCUUUGCUAAGGUCAGACCAUGUGCUUGGAGCUGUAUGUGAUACUGAAGAAGGCAUGGUCCCUGCCCAAAGAAGUUCAUAGCUGAGAGGCCCAAACAUACAAGAUGGAAAUCAACAGGGAAAGCAAGACAAAGGACCUUCCUUCUUCUUAGCAGAUGUCUCCUUCUGUGGACUUAAAUUGAGAUUUGGAUGCAAUUUAUUUCAAUCUUCCAUGUCCUGGUCACACAGAAGUAUGCAUUUCAUCUCCAUGUACAUUUUAAAGUAUGGAAGAAAAGUAUCUUCCUGCAUUACUGCUUCUGAUUGUAUUAAGAAAAUUAAUAGUUCUUAUU